UGGGGAAUAUUGCACAAUGGGGGAAAGCCCUGAUGCAGCAACGCCGCGUGAAGGAAGAAGGUUUUCGGAUCGUAAACUUCUAUCAACAGGGACGAAACAAAUGACGGUACCUGAAUAAGAAGCCCCGGCUAACUACGUGCCAGCAGCCGCGGUAAUACGUAGGGGGCAAGCGUUAUCCGGAAUUACUGGGUGUAAAGGGAGCGUAGGCGGCACGUCAAGCCAGAUGUGAAAGCCCGGGGCUUAACCCCGUGGAUUGCAUUUGGAACUGGCGAGCUAGAGUACAGGAGAGGAAAGCGGAAUUCCUAGUGUAGCGGUGAAAUGCGUAGAUAUUAGGAAGAACACCAGUGGCGAAGGCGGCUUUCUGGACUGAAACUGACGCUGAGGCUCGAAAGCGGGGGAGCAAACAGGAUUAGAUACCC
rnacentral:rRNA from 1 species